GCUUAGACGAACAUCUGAAUCCGAUUUUGAAGAAGUCUUGCAUCGAUGGACACUGACAAAAUAUAGGAAGCUGCACAUGAAUGUUGGGUAUUUUAUCAUAAGUAGAAUACAGAUAGAUUCUGUAGUAGUAGAUCUCUUUAGUUGGGUAUUGAAAUUGGCUUUGGUUUGUAUGGGGUCUGAUGAGGUCUCAGUUGCAUUUGAUCCUACUUGUUAUUUAUCACUGCCAAUGCCAGUCGAAAAGGAAGUACCAGUUGACCUGUAUCUGGCUAACGUGGACCUUUUAGCAGAAAUUUUUCUGCUUUCAAGGGAUUCAAAGAGUUUGUAGAAUAUUAUGUCUCUAGGAUUCCACAGUUUUAGGUAAUUCAAUUGACAAGAAAUUUACACUGAUUCUUGUUUUAUUUUUCUAAAGGCAGAUUCUUAAUUAUAAAGGAUUGGGAAAGAAAAUUGACGGAGGCUCAGUGCCAAAAAAAUUAUGGUAGUUGGAAUGAUUACCGAAGCUCUUCGGAUUCGUUUAUUUCACUCGUUAUGGUAUUUAAAGAAAAUAAACGUGUACCUGUGCCCCUUUGUAUCUGUGACCCGAUUUCCUCUUCACUUGCGAUAAUUCUGCAGCGGGUCAUGCAGAUACUGUGAUCAGCAGAAAAAGUUGGAAGUGCGCUGCCCGGAAAGCAAAUCUGGGGUAAAAGAAAAAAACUUAUUCCAACUAGUAAGCCAUUCCCAAAUUCAACCAACAAAAAGGAAAAGGUGGAAGGAAAAACUUCGUUCUCUGGUAGUGUUUUAGUUAAAAUCCUUUUUGUGCAAAUUCAUUUUUGAAAUUGUUUACCUCAUUUUCGAAUGGUUCCGUUCACAUUUGUUGUUCAUGUGAGAUUUUAUGUUUACCAGUUACUGCAUUAUAUUGACCACUAUUGCAAGAUGUUUGUUUAGGAAUAACUACUGUUUUGUUUAUCUGGAAUGUUGUGUGGGAGUCCAUCAGGAAUUGCUGGUCUGCAGUAAAUUUGUCAGGCUAGGUGAUGAAGAUCAAUGAAUCAGAAAAUGUUUUGCAUGGGUGGUGAAUGUUCUGACAGUUUUAACAGUUGUGAUGUGGUGUAUUUCACUUCCACGCAUCAUGGUGUUUUUAUCUAUCAGUUGAAUUGUAUGGUUAAUUUUCUGUUCGUGUAACCUCAUUUCCUCUUGAAUCAUAUAGUAGAAAUUGGUGACCUGAAACAAUGAACAUGGAAAAAUCACCUGUGCCAACGUUGACGAUGUUUGAUUGAUGAAGUGCUGGAAACUAAAAUUAAUUUUCUUUACAAUUUGGUUUCAGGCUAUCUUUAUAAUUUUUUAUUAGUUUUGCGUUUGUUUAGAGUCCGCAAGCUCGUAGCUGAUUUCCUCCUUUAGAUACCGCCUGUCGACGGUUUGACAGCCUCACACAAUUGAACGUAUGCCAAAAAGCCAAAGUGAGCUCUUCCGAUCAGAAAAGUGACGGCGUAUCCAUUUAAUUGAAAAUAGGCACAAGAUAACGCACAAUUGGCGUUCUUGCCUCAAUGGAGAAAUUUUUCCGUGGAACUUAUGACCGAAAUACCAUUGCAGCUGUUCAAAAAAAAGAAAAGUGUAUUAUCAUGCAGAUGUUGACUAGCUAACAAUCCAGAGAUACGUCAACUUGCGAAAUUUCUAGAUGUGUGUGAAGCGCAAUCAGCAUCCUUGUUGAACUGUGAACCCAAAUCAUGUAUUUUCCUAGAAAUAUCUAGGUUUUUGGAUAAAUAAAUAAAAGUCAGUGAAAAAAUGUGA